rnacentral:lncRNA from 1 species
GCGAGUUCCGAUGAGCUUCUUCGGCAAGCUCCGAUCUUUCUCGGCGAGCUUCGCGAACUUCCAACGAACCUUCCGGCGAGCUUCCGAAAAACCCUUCGGCAAGCUCCCUACUCAUUCUCGGUUAGUUCCGGCAGCAUUCCCGACGAACCUUCGGACUUCCGUCGAACUCUCGAACUCCCAACGAAUCCUUCGCGCUUGACUCCGGCACUUUGUUUUGCUUUAUGUCUUUGUCGUUAUCAUAGUUAAUCCUGCACACACAAGCAAAUACUCUACUCCGAUCUAGACAAUUAUUAUAACGCAAAUUGACAUUCUAUUGCCCGGCACGUCAUUGGUUGGCGCUUCGUCCGAUUCUUCGGUGCAUCGUCCUCUCUUGCGGCUUGUUGCCCAAUCGGCGGUUGACC